AGUGAGGAGAGGCAGGUGGCAACGUCAGUCUUUUACAAAGAAUAUCCCCGAUUGCAGUCAGAGAGAGGAGAAGAGAAGGAAUAUGAAAUCUCAGUUUCCAGAGAGAGAUGCAGAUGCCAGAAGGGACAAUUAGAGAACUAACAAUGAGUCUCUUCAUCUGGAAAAAAUUGGAAGUCAAAGCAAGGAGGUCACUUGCUCUGGGGAAAGCCACCUGCCAUGCCGUGAGGACAUUCAAACUGCCUAUGGAGAGGUCCACAUAGUGAAAAACUAAGGCCCCUGCCAAAACCCAUGUGAGCCAUCUUGGAAACAGAUCCUUCAGCCCUAGGCAAGCCCUUAGAUAAUGUAGUGCCAGCCAACAUCUUGACAGCAGCCUGCAAGAGACUCUGAGUUAGAAACAACCAGCGAAGCCAUUCCUGAAUUCCUAAUCCUCAGAAUCAGCAUGAUAAUAGUAAAUGCUUAUUGUAA
rnacentral:lncRNA from 1 species